rnacentral:rRNA from 1 species
GACGAACGCUGGCGGCGUGCCUAAUACAUGCAAGUAGGACGCUGAAGGAGGAGCUUGCUUCUCUGGAUGAGUUGCGAACGGGUGAGUAACGCGUAGGUAACCUGCCUGGUAGCGGGGGAUAACUAUUGGAAACGAUAGCUAAUACCGCAUAAUAGUAGAUGUUGCAUGACAUUUGCUUAAAAGGUGCAAUUGCAUCACUACCAGAUGGACCUGCGUUGUAUUAGCUAGUUGGUGGGGUAACGGCUCACCAAGGCGACGAUACAUAGCCGACCUGAGAGGGGGAUCGGCCACACUGGGACUGAGACACGGCCCAGACUCCUACGGGAGGCAGCAGUAGGGAAUCUUCGGCAAUGGACGGAAGUCUGACCGAGCAACGCCGCGUGAGUGAAGAAGGUUUUCGGAUCGUAAAGCUCUGUUGUAAGAGAAGAACGAGUGUGAGAGUGGAAAGUUCACACUGUGACGGUAUCUUACCAGAAAGAGACGGCUAACUACGUG